UNUGAAGUUAAAGGCUGUGGCUUAACCAUAGUACGCUUUGGAAACUGUUUAACUUGAGUGCAGAAGGGGAGAGUGGAAUUCCAUGUGUAGCGGUGAAAUGCGUAGAUAUAUGGAGGAACACCGGUGGCGAAAGCGGCUCUCUGGUCUGUAACUGACGCUGAGGCUCGAAAGCGUGGGGAGCGAACAGGAUUAGAUACCCUGGUAGUNCACGCCGUAAACGAUGAGUGCUAGGUGUUAGGCCCUUUCCGGGGCUUAGUGCCGCAGCUAACGCAUUAAGCACUCCGCCUGGGGAGUACGACCGCAAGGUUGAAACUCAAAGGAAUUGACGGGGGCCCGCACAAGCGGUGGAGCAUGUGGUUUAAUUCGAAGCAACGCGAAGAACCUUACCAGGUCUUGACAUCCCGAUGCCCGCUCUAGAGAUAGAGUUUUACUUCGGUACAUCGGUGACAGGUGGUGCAUGGUUGUCGUCAGCUCGUGUCGUGAGAUGUUGGGUUAAGUCCCGCAACGAGCGCAACCCUUAUUGUUAGUUGCCAUCAUUCAGUUGGGCACUCUAGCGAGACUGCCGGUAAUAAACCGGAGGAAGGUGGGGAUGACGUCAAGUCAUCAUGCCCCUUAUGACCUGGGCUACACACGUGCUACAAUGGCUGGUACAACGAGUCGCAAGUCGGUGACGGCAAGCUAAUCUCUUAAAGCCAGUCUCAGUUCGGAUUGUAGGCUGCAACUCGCCUACAUGAAGUCGGGAUCGCUAGUAAUCGCGGAUCAGCACGCCGCGGUGAAUGCGUUCCCGGGCCUUGUACACACCGCCCGUCACACCACGAGAGUUUGUAACACCCGAAGUCGGU
rnacentral:rRNA from 1 species